GAAGACCUGCCCUGGGAGUGAAUAUCUGAGUACCUGAGUGCAUGCGUGCGUACUUGCUUGCUUCCUCGCUCCUCUGGGUUGCUCUCUCUUGAGAUAGCUGAAGUCGCUGGAAAUGAGAGCUAAAGCAUCUCCACCAGAUGGCUGUCCUGCCUGUGUUUGAAGAUCUCCACCAUGGAAGAACCCACCAUUGUCCAGGUUUCCUGCAGCCUCUUGACUGUCCCUGUCACCCAGUGCCAGAUGGGAAGUGAGAGCUAAGCUGAUCCACCUCUUUGUGGUGGAAACCCCCAGAGCUUUGGCUACAGGUUACUGAAGUGCUCAUGAAAAAUGCAAGGCUGCUAUAACAAGCUUGCUGAAAGUAAAAUGCGUGUCACAUUAUCCAGCCGACCUUUCUGAUAGCAGAGGGCGCUGAACGAACUCUUGCUGCAAAACUUUUAUACAGACACCGCACGGAGGAUGAUUCAAGGGGCAGAAUUGAUGUUAACUCCCUCACCCCAACAACACACAAGGAAACAGAAAGAAUGGAUUCAUGUGGACUUGCAUUAUAAAGGGAGAGACUUUCUUUGAGCAAGCUCUAUUCAAUGAUGCAGUGAAGAAUGCGAGUUCAAGAUCUGCAAGAAGAAUCCAUACCGCUUCUAGAGAUUAACCAACAAAACCAUCAGCACAGAAAGUUUCAAAGAGACUUCCUAUGUUGCUUACAUCUUUUUGUCACAUGAACAUGAAGAUGCACCAAGAUCCCGAUUAACCAGCACAGAGGCUAAUUUUACUUAUUUGGUGCAUUUCUUAUAUCUCACCUUUCUUACCAUCAUGCAACUCAAGGU